UUUUGGAAGGUAAAAGUCGUAACAAGGUUU
rnacentral:rRNA from 1 species